rnacentral:misc_RNA from 1 species
AAGUCGUAACAAGGUCUCCGUAGGUGAACCUGCGGAGGGAUCAUUACCGAGUGAGGGCCUUCGGGCUCGACCUCCAACCCUUUGUGAACACAACUUGUUGCUUCGGGGGCGACCCUGCCGUUCCGACGGCGAGCGCCCCCGGAGGCCUUCAAACACUGCAUCUUUGCGUCGGAGUUUAAGUAAAUUUAACAAAA